rnacentral:rRNA from 1 species
AUUGAACGCUGGCGGCAUGCCUAACACAUGCAAGUCGAACGGCAGCACGGGUGUUUGCAUCUGGUGGCGAGUGGCGAACGGGUGAGUAAUACAUUGGUACAUGUUCCGUAGUGGGGGGUAGUCCGGCGAAAGCCGGGUUACUACCGCGUACGAAUUUCGUGCGAAAGCGGGGGCCCUUCGGGCAUUGCGUCUUUGGGUUGGUCGAUGGUUGAUUAGCUCGUUGGGGGGGUAUAGGCCUACCAAGGCGACGCCCAGUCGCUGAUGUGAGAGGACGACCGGCCACACUGGAACUGAGACACGGCCCAGACUCCUACGGGAGGCAGCAGUAGGGAAUUUUAGGCAAUGGGCGAGAGCCUGAUCCAGCAAUGCCGCGUGUGUGAAGAAGGCCUUCGGAUGGUAAAGCACUGUUGUCCGGAAAGAAAUCCUUUGCCCUAAAACGGGCGGAGAAUGACGGUACCGGAAGAAUAAGCACCGGCUAACUACGUG